CUUGACCGAGCCGAGCCACAGCGGCUCGUCCGUCCUGCUCUGCCCGUACGUGUUGAGCAGCGCCUGCGCCUC
rnacentral:antisense_RNA from 1 species